GUCUAUCCUCAUUACAAUACAAGCACAAGCACCUAUUAAUACUGUAAACCAUCUACCCUGCCCGUAUUCUCCGUCAGUAACUUUCACUACCAUAUCCUUAACUUCACUAGAUUUCAAGCUCGAAAAUCCUAAUUGGUACAUUAAAUCUUCGAUUUCUUUCUGGGCAUUGUAAAUUUUUGUUUCGUUGUAGUUAUAAACUGUUCCGCUACCGGCGGUGCCGGUGCGGACUUGUGUUCCGGUUGGACCACUAAUUCCACCGAUUUGGGCAUCGUAAUUAUCG
rnacentral:misc_RNA from 1 species